rnacentral:rRNA from 1 species
AUUGAACGCUGGCGGCCGGCUUAACACAUGCAAUUCGAACGAGUGGCUGACGGGUGAGUAAUGUCUGGGAAACUGCCUGAUGGUUGGGGAUAACUACUGGUAAUGUUAGCUAAUACCGCAUACCUCUAGAUGUGCCCAGAUGGGAUUGGCUUGUUGGUGGGGUAACGGCUCACCAAGGCGACGACCCCUAGCUGGUCUGAGAGGCUAACCAGCCACACGAGAGCGGAGAAAAGGUCCAAAAUCCUACGGGCGGCAGCAGUGGGGAAUGUGGCACAAUGGGCGCAAGCCUGAUGACACCAUGCCGCGUGUAGGAAGAAGGCCUUCGGGUUGUAAAGUACUUACAGCGGGGAGGCGUUACCAGUAGAAGAAGCACCGGCUAACGCCGGGCCAGCAGCCGCGGUAAUUC